AUUGAACGCUGGCGGCAGGCCUAACACAUGCAAGUCGAGCGGAUGAAGGGAGCUUGCUCCUGGAUUCAGCGGCGGACGGGUGAGUAAUGCCUAGGAAUCUGCCUGGUAGUGGGGAUAACGUCCGGAAACGGGCGCUAAUACCGCAUACGUCCUGAGGGAGAAAGUGGGGGAUCUUCGGACCUCACGCUAUCAGAUGAGCCUAGGUCGGAUUAGCUAGUUGGUGGGGUAAAGGCCUACCAAGGCGACGAUCCGUAACUGGUCUGAGAGGAUGAUCAGUCACACUGGAACUGAGACACGGUCCAGACUCCUACGGGAGGCAGCAGUGGGGAAUAUUGGACAAAGGGCGAAAGCCUGAUCCAGCCAUGCCGCGUGUGUGAAGAAGGUCUUCGGAUUGUAAAGCACUUUAAGUUGGGAGGAAGGGCAGUAAGUUAAUACCUUGCUGUUUUGACGUUACCAACAGAAUAAGCACCGGCUAACUUCGUG
rnacentral:rRNA from 1 species